UUUUUUUUUUUGUUGUCCUUCCUUUGAAAUGAAAGAAGAAUGAGUUUAAAUAAAUGGUGAAUAUUAACAUUCAUUCUUCUUGAAAACUUAAGAGUCAAUGCAUGCAUUUGACUCAUUGCCUUCUCAAUGUGCCACCCAAGAUGGCCAAUAAAAUUUCUUUUUUUUUCUUUUUUCUUUUUCUUUUUCCAAGAUAAGACUAAUUAAAAAGCCUUUUAGAUGACCCAUUUCUUUUAUUCAUUAAUUGAAUAAUAGCUAAAUGGGUCAUCUGAAAAUUUAAAAUAGACCCAAAAUGUAGACCCAUUUGAUCAAGACCCAAAAAUCAAAAGAAAACCAAUCCACGAACACAAAAUCCAAACUAUUUUGAAGAACAAACACAACAAAUAAGGCAGAAAAUAAAAAUAAAAAAAUAAAAACAAAAUUCAAAGAAUAAAAUUCAAGCAAAAACUUCAACAUGAUAAAACUUAAAGAACACUAACAAAACAAUACAAAUCCAGCACCAAAAUAACUUAUAUGGUUAAAAAUGUGAUAAUGGCGGAUUUGGAUAGAGGAUGAGAGGGGGAAAAUAUUGACAUAAAUUUUUGGGUGAAUGGGGUCGCUGAAAACUUCGCUGGAUUUUUUUUUGAUGGAUUUUGGACAUAAAAUGUAUACCAAAGGAUAGCCCUUGAAGAGCUCUACACAUUUCUGUAAAUGGUAUAGAAUAGGGAUGACCGGAACUUCAUAAAUUUAAAGAAAAAAGUGAAGAUUUGUGUUUGGUUUUUCUUAGAUCUACGGAGUUUGGCUAUGGAUAAGGAUGUUUGCGGAUUUGUGUAGAGGAGGGUGAAAGGAAGAAAUGGUAAAUUAUUUGGAGAUUUUUCUUGCCAAGGGGUGGUGGCCGCCGGCGACAAUGGCGACGGUGGCGGUGGCCGGCCGGCGUUAGGUGGAAGCAAGGGGAGAAGAAAAUAAAAAUAAAAAUAAUUUUUUUUUAUUUUUGGAGUUUUUGUAUUUAUUUUUUUAGGGUCCCAUAAGAGCCAUUGGAUCAAAAUAUCAUGAAUGGUUGAGAUUCAAUCUUGACCAUUUGUAUUGAAUCGGGUCAAAAUUGAUUGGGUUAUCAGGAUUUGGUCUAAAUCAACCAAAUUCAAUCAAAAUUGGGUCAUUUGGGCCAAUUAAAAAAAACAAUACAAACAACCCAAAAUACAAAUAAAAUAUAAGAAAAUACAUUACUAUAUAUUGUAGGAGUAAAAUAAACACGUCAAAAAUUAGGUGUUCACACAGAUUAUUACUUCAACUUGUGCACAAGUUUACAUUUGAGGCUUAUGAAAGUCUAGUUAGGUUUAGUUAAUUGUACUUACUUCAGUUAAGUUCUCUAGUACAACUAUGUGCAUUCCUUUUAAAUUUCGCUCUUUUGACCUCUGUGUUAGAUUCUAGCAUUUCAUAAUACCUUUAGUUUUUUUGUUCAAUCAACCUAUGAUGCCUACUGAGUACCUGUUGUUUUGGUACUCAUACUAUACUCUGCAUUGGUUUUGUGAUGCAGGUUUGUGCACCAGUUACCAACGCUGAUAUUCGGAGGCGAGGGUGAGCACACGUCUCCAUCUGUAUUUUGUUGGCUAGUCUUUUGCAUUUUGAGACAAGCCUUUGUAUUUUGAGUACACUUUUGAGACUUGUACUCUUUUGUUUAGGAGCUCUGUACUUGUGACUUUCAGGUUCUGGGAGGGAUCUUAUUGUUGUGUAUAUAUAUAUCUUUCGGUUUGUUUCUGCUUAUUCUUAUGUUUCUGCAUUUUAGUUGUCGUUUGCGCUUUCUUUCUACCCUUAUACCCAUUACUGACAUUCUUGGUUACAAGUUGGCUUACCUACUGGUGGGUUAUAGUAGGUAUCAUCAUGACUCAAGAAAUCGAGUUGUGACAAGUCAUGCCCUAGAUGGCCUACCACCAUUAAAUCACUCUGGAGGCCGCUAAAGCAGUCACACCAACAUCUUUGGAAUCAGCCAAAGGCUAAGGUGAAAACUUCUCCAAAUAGGUCCUCAGUAUUCAUUCGGAACCCCGUGAACGCAAACAGACUAUGCUAUCCUACUAAAAACGACAUUCCAAACUCAACGGAAUUGGUGAAAUAGUCAAUGGAGGUCCUCUUGAUAAAAUGUUGACCCAAGUCAACACUUGCAAAAAAUUAAAACUAAAACCAACAAAACGCAAACUCUACAAAAUCAUCCCGAUCACCGUGGGAUCUAAACCAAAGGUGAUUCUAGAACAAACUCGACAUUCCGAAGUUAACUAUGCUGACAAAAUUCUCAUUCAAACACGUUUACCAAGAAUGUUGACCGACGUCAAAUAUUUAUCAAACUUCCAAAAAAUUCUUGACUAAAGGCUUAACUUACAUUGAAGGUCUCGAUACCUAAACCAACCAUGCCACUAGCUCAAAAUGGACCUUCCGGAGCUGAUGGAUUUCAUAGAAAUCACAUACGACACCAGAUUCCCCUCUUCCCCUCACUCUCCUUUCCCUAAUAUGAACCUUGAGUCAUCAAAGCCCCCUUCCUUAUGAAUCAGUUCCCCGGGUACAAGGAAUGAGUGCUCCUAAUGUCUUUUCUCUCUUUCGGUCGAGUGAAGAGAGGAGGGGCAUAAGUUCUACAAAACGUGUAUGUUAAGCAUGACGAUUGGUUCCUUGCUUCAAGACAGAAAGAUCGUUUUUGUUCAACAUUUUUUUUUUUUUCUAGAAGUAGGGAAUGAAUGAGAAGUCUAGUUAGGCAGUGGAAACCCUAGGAUUUUGAAUCGGUGAAGGCAAGCGCUGACCUCGAGGCAAAGGAAUUCUUCUGGAUGCUGGCCAAAGUUAAUUCUUCCAACUUAAGGGCUUCCGAAAUGAAAAAACUCAUACUAAAUUCUCCUGACUAUCUCGAGAAGCAUGUCACUCAUCCCAAUAUCACACAAACAUUACAUAAAAGCUACGGAAAUAGACAAAACAGUAAAAUUCACACAAAAACAAGCAAAUGACCACAAAGGUCAUUACAACUUUAUAAUGUCAAAGCCAAAAUAAAUAAAUCAAAACAUUCUUCAAAAUAGUCAUAAGUGAAGCAAAAAUACCAAUACAAGUAAAAUUAUACAAUAACACAACUUUCUUUCCGACAUUAACAUUAUGCCUCAAAAAAAUUAUGUUUUGUAUGGAAUACGUCUAGUUUUAAAAACAGAAAUUCCCUCAUUUAAUGUAGAAUUAGUAGUUAAUAGUGCGAAUGAUUUGGGUUCAAAUACUGUGUUUUAAAUCUAUAUAUAUAUGUGUAUAAAGUUGGACACAAAAAUCUGAUGUGACAUCCUUCUUUGGGCAGGAUUACCAUUUAUCCUUUUUGUCAAUUUUUUGCCUUUUUUUCUUAAUAAAUUCUUUUUUUUUUAAAUACACUUACAUAUUUUCUCUUUCCUCAUUAUUAUUACACCAUUUAUAUCUUCCUAAAAUGCCUCUUUUGCCUUUCAAUUUUCCGUUUUUUUUUUCAAAAUAAAUUGUGGUUUUACAAAUUUCAGAAAAAGGCACACUUACAUUUUCUUUUCCCUCAUUAAUUCUAUUUAUAUCUUUCUAAAAUUUCUUAUUUUUCUUUUUUAUUUAAUUUAAAAUAUCUAUAACUAAUAAAGUUGAAUAUAGAAGAGGUGAUGUGAUGUGGCAUACCUCUUUGGUGAACAAUCAUAUUUAUAUUUUUUUCAUUUUUUUUAUUUUAUCGUUCUCAAUUAUUAUUAUUAUUAAAUAUUAAAUUAUUUUAAAAAGUUAUCUCCAUAACUCACAUCUCCAUAAAUUGUGUUAGAAAACUAAUUUAUUUUAAAAAAAAACUCAAAAGUCCCUCAUUUAAUUAAUUUCUUACGUUAUCAUCAUCCAUCCCAUUCAAGUUAUUUGUUCCUCUUAAUUAACCAUAAAUGGGUAAUUUAAGUUUCAGUUUUUUAAUCUUGAUUGGCUAUUAGUAUUAUCAUUACCUAUUAAAGACCUUUAUUAUUCAUUAAUAUAAUAAUUACAUGCCUGUAGUAAAAAAAAAUAAUAAUAUAUAUAUAUAUAUAUAAAUAGCACUAAAAUGUACUCUUCAACUAUUUUCCAUCUUUCAGGUAAUAAGUAACAGAUUUUUUUGUUACUUUCUCUAUCAAUCAUUUAUCAUUUCUUUUGAUGCCAUGUGAUUUGUUCUUUUGAAUACUUUUUUUUUGUUUUUAAUUAUGAAAUUAUAUUAUUAUUUUUGGUAUAUGAUUCUGAUAUUUUGUAAAUUAUAAAUAGGUGAAAUAAUGAAGUUACCUGUAGAUGUAAUUUUAUAUAUUUGGUAAGUUGAUAUCUUCUUCCUUUUUUCAUCUUCAAUAUAUAUGAAUAGGUGAAAUAAUAAAGUUAUAUGUGGAUGUAAUUUUACAUAUUUGGUAAGUUGAUAUCUUCUUCCUUUUUUCAUCUUCAAUAUAUAUGAAUAGGUGAAAUAAUAAAGUUAUAUGUGGAUGUAAUUUUACAUAUUUGGUAAGUUGAUAUCUUCUUCCUUUUUUCAUCUUCAAUAUAUAUGAAUAGGUGAAAUAAUAAAGUUAUAUGUGGAUGUAAUUUUACAUAUUUGGUAAGUUGAUAUCUUCUUCCUUUUUUCAUCUUCAAUAUAUAUGAAUAGGUGAAAUAAUAAAGUUAUAUGUGGAUGUAAUUUUACAUAUUUGGUAAGUUGAUAUCUUCUUCCUUUUUUCAUCUUCAAUAUAUAUGAAUAGGUGAAAUAAUAAAGUUAUAUGUGGAUGUAAUUUUACAUAUUUGGUAAGUUGAUAUCUUCUUCCUUUUUCAUCUUCAAUAUGUAUGAAUUUUUAUAAAUCAAAAUCAUGUUUUCUUUCCCAGUUAUUAGUGUUUUUGGUGUAAUUUAUUUUCUCUCUUUUAAAAAUAAUUUAUUUUCUUAUUUUAUCUUGUAUUUUUUUAGAGGUAGUAUGAGCAUAUUUUUGUUGCUUAGUGUUAGCUUCAAAUUUGAGCAAUAUGUCAAUAAUAAAAGAAGAUGUUAUUUUAAAAUAAAUUUUAUCAAAUAAUUAACAAAUUAUUAAUGAUAAAUUAGCAGAUGAUGAAUUUCUCAAUUGUCCUAAGAAGUAUUCUCAAUCAAAUUGUUAGCUUCAAAUUUACAAGUUAUUAGUGUUUUUUGUGUCAUUUAUUUUCUCUCUUUUAAAAAUAAUUUAUCUUCUUACUUUAUCUUGUAAUUUUUUUAGAGAUAGUAUUUUUGUUGCUUAGUGUUAGCUUCAAUUUGAACAAUAUGUCAAUAAUAAUAAAAGAAGAUAUUAUUUUAAAAUAAAUUUUAUCAAAUAAUUUACAUAUUCUCAAUUGUCUAAAGAAGGAUUCUCAAUUAAUUUGUCAGCUUCAAAUUUAAAUGUUAUUAGUGUUUUUGGUAUCAUUUAUUUUCUCCUUUUUAAAAAUAAUUUAUCUUCUUAAGUUAUCUUGUAUUUUUUUUUAGAGAUAGUAUUUUUAUUGCUUAGUGUUAGCUUCAAAUUUGAAUAAUAUGUCAAUAAUAAUAAAAUAAUAUGUUAUUUUAAAAUAUUUUUUAUCAAAUAAUUUACAUAUUAUAAGUGAUAAAUUAGUAGAUGAUAAAUUUCUCAAUUAUCCAAAAAAGGAUUCUUAAUUAAAUUGUUAGCUUCAAAUUUACAUCUUAUUAGUGUUUUUGGUAUCAUUUUAUUUUCUCCUUUUUAAAAAUAAUUUUAUCUUCUUAAGUUAUCUUGUAUUUUUUUUUAGAGAUAGUAUUUUUGUUGCUUAGUGUUAGCUUCAAAUUUGAACAAUAUGUCAAUAAUAAUAAAAUAAUAUGUUAUUUUAAAAUAUUUUUUAUCAAAUAAUUUACAUAUUAUAAGUGAUAAAUUAGUAGAUGAUGAAAUUUCUCAAUUGUCCAAAGAAGGAUUCUCAAUUAAAUUGAAGCUUGAAACUAAUUUUGUUGCUAUUUUGAAUCUCUCAUGUAAAAAAAAAAAAUUCUCCCAUGCCAAGUUUGUAUUCCUAAUUUUAUUUUAUGAAAUGAACAAUUCCUUUUAGAUUUUAUGAAUUUGUAACAUUACAUUAAUGAUUCUCGGACCGCGAAAAUAAUUAUUCAGAGAAUGACAUUUUCCUUUCUCAUAUUUAAAUCCUAUUUAAUUACUUUAAUUUUUCAAUAUACAAUUAAACUUCCUUAAACUUAUACUCCUAUAUAAAUUUUAAGGGUCAUAUAUGAAAUAUUUUCUUUUUGAUAAUUAAUACAAAUUCCGUAAUCAAAUUUGUAGUAACAUGUAAAAUAUACACUAACAAGAAUAUAUAGUAUUACAAGAAAAACAAAAAGGGUAAUUAAAAAAGAAGAAGAGAGACACAAUUUAUUUUUACUUUUUAUUCUUUAUCCCUCCUUCUUCAAUUUUGGAGAGGGUAAAAUAAAUAGAAUGUUGUACAAUUUUUUUUCCAUCAAUAUUCAAUAUUAUUAGAAUUUAGCCCAAAAUGUUUAGACCUUUUAUUGAGAUUUUUGGCAACAUUUUCAAUUGCUAUAUAGGAUAAAGGGAAGCAUGAGUAAAACAUUUAUUAGAUUUUUUUAGAAGUAAAAGCUUUAUUUGAUUAUUUUUUUUCUUUGACUAUUCUUAAGCUACUUACUUAAUUAGGUAAAAACUUAUCGUUACUACAUCUAUAAGUUGUUGGUAUGAAUAUCCAAAUACACUUUUACAAAUUAAAGUAUAAAACAAUUUCAUAUUAACUGAAACUUUUAAGACCUAUUGUUAUUUCAAUUAUUUGUAAGUAGUUCAUUAUUCAAGUUUAUCACAAAUUUUACAUAAAAAAAAUUUCAAAUUGCUCAUUUUUCUUCUACUAAACUAUAUAUAUAUCUCAACUACAAAUAAGUUAUUCAGAACUUUUGUUUUCAACUUUCUUCUUAUUGUGUUGUUGUAAUUAUUUUCUUUUAAAAAUGUAAUUGUAGGUUGGAUUUAAUUUUCAAAUUAAGUUUUGCAAUAACAUAUAAGUUGAGAUUAUAAAUGGGAAAAUUGUACAUAAUGGCAAACUAUUAAUUCAAAUUAAAUGGUAUAAUCACACUUUGAUUUAAUUGUGUCCUGUAGCAAAUUGUUUGUCAGCGCCUCUCUCCCUCAAACUCUCGCUCACUCCCUCUGUGCUCGCCUCUCUCGAUUUAUACAACAGAAUUGUAUAAAUUGUGUUUCUGUUUGUACAAAGCGCGAGAAAAUUAUAUAUGCACAUGCAAAUACAUAUAUAUUCGUCCUAUACACUUAUAAUUAUACAAUAAAAAUAUUUUCCUGCCCAGUUCUCUUUUGCCUAUCUCUCUUUCUCGUUUUAUACAACAGAAUUGUAUAAAUUGUGUUUCUGUUUGUACAAAGCGCGAGAAAAUUAUAUAUGCACAUGCAAAUACAUAUAUAUUCGUCCUAUACACUUAUAAUUAUACAAUAAAAAUAUUCCCCUGCCCAGUUUUUAUGUUUGUAUAAUGUAUAAUUUAUGUUUGUAUAAAGCGAAAGAGAGAGCGAUUUUUUAUAUACAAAUAUUUUUGUCAACGAUUUAUACAAACGAGAGGCUAACAACAAUUUAUACAAAUGGCCUGCCAGCAAAAUUAUACAAAUCUGAAGAGGAGCCAACGAAUUAUACAAUUGCUUCUUUUUGUAUAUAUGUAUAGCGAAAUAGACAGCUUUCAAUUGUAUAUGUAUAGCGAAUUAUACAUAUAUAUGUUUGCUAUGGAGCGCAAUUAUACAAACUUUGCUAUAGCAUACAAAUAUGAUUUUUUUGUUUGCUAUAUGUGAAAGUUGCUCAUUAUAAAUUUAUACUUGAAUAAUCUUUUGGAACAAGAAAAGUAAUCAAAAACUAUAAUUUUAAGAUUGUUUAUAAUAUUAUAAACUAUUAGAUAAUUAUUAAAUCAUAAGUUUAUAGACAUUUUUUACCGCGCCAGGCGCGGAUAAGUUCCCUAAUUGUAUAAAUAAAUUCAAAUUCCUAAAUUUCAGUAUUUGUAAUUAUCUUCAAGAGUAUUUUGAGAAAAUAUAGUUCCACAAAAAUAAGCUAGAUUGAUUUGUGUAUUCUCUUGGUUCAUUUUGAACGUUUUUGUUUGACUUUAAUUAAAAAAAUGUUCUAGUGUGUUUUAAUAUAGAUAUAUUUUUGAAUAUUUUUAUUUUGCUUUAUCUAAAUUUCAACUCUAUGAAAAAAUGGGGAACCUUGUGUGAGGGUUUGGGGUGGUGGUUAGUUUACAUAUUAGAAGGUCUCUUUUAAUAAAAAAUAAAACUGAAUGUUACAACUAUACAAAUUUUGAAACUGGUUUUUCUUUUUAUCACGAUUAUUAUUUAUUUUUACUGUCACAAUUAUGGAUAUUCAAAUUGAAAAGUUGUAAAAUUGUUUUUCCUUAAAAAGUAACUGCAAAAUUUAAUUUUUAAAGUAACUAAUAAGAAAUUAAAUUUAUUUUAAAAAUUGAAUUUUAAAACUGAAAAAUUGAAAAAAAAAAUUGGUGCUGACAUGUUGCACUCUUUGUCUCUCCUAUUAUAUAUAUAUAUAUAUAUAUAUAUACUAGUAUACGUGUCCGCGUGUUGCGCGAAUAUUUUAAAAUGAAUUAAUUUUAUAAUUUAAAAAUAACUAAUAUGAAUUAUUAUUGAGUAAUAAAAAUGCAUAGAUUAUUGUAUAUAAUAUUUUGAUUUUAUAUAAACACUUGAUGCUAAUAAAAUUAAUUUUACCCUAAUUCUUUUAACGUGUUCUUUGAGAUAAGAUAAAGUAAUUGUGUGUCAAUAAACAAACGUAUAUGUUUAUUAGUGAAUAUAUCAUAGUAUGAUUUAUUUUAGUAUAUUAAUUGCUUUCGUUAUCAUUUUUUUUAUUUUUUCUAUUAAUAAUUUGCUUACGUACAUAAUAUUAUCCAUAGUGUUUCAUUUCUUAUGACAUUUCAAAAUUUUCUUAUCUCAAAUUCAAAUAAAAAUAGAUAAGCUAUUAUAACUAACACUUUAUCCACUCUUUGGAAUUGAUCAAAUCUGAUUCGUAUAUUUAGAUGGGAUAAAUGAAUUUAUUUUUUUAACAAAAAAACCCGGAGAAUCUAUCAUCUAAUAUUGGCUUAAAUUAUGUACAUUUAUUAAACAAUUCACUAUAUAAUGUAAAUAAUAAAUCUAAAUCUAAUAAAUUGAAUGAGUGGAUAUAGAAUUUUGAACUUGAACCCAUAAUAUUCAAAUUUUGAAUUUAUAUGUGUUCAAUAGUCUAAAAGAUGUAGUAAAUAAUUAAAUUUUGUACAUAUGAUAAACAAUCUAUAUAUAUAUAAAGCCAAAUAUGAAAACACUGACGUGGCACCUCUCAAUGGCCUCUAUUAAUAUUUAUCUAUUUUGUCAAUUUUUUGAGCUUUAAUUUUAUUUUUAAUUACAAAUUAAAAAUGUAUUCAUGAUAUAAGAAAAAGACAUUUAACUCCUAUAAUUAAGAAAUUGUGUAACAGCUAAAUAAAUAAUGGUACAAUUAGAAUACAUCAUAAGCAUAAUAAUUAAGAAAUUGUGUAACGGCUAAAUAAAUAAUGGUACAAUUAGGAUACAUCAUGAACACAAUUUUUUUCAAUUAAAUUAUUGUUAAAUAAUAUUGAAAUUAAGUCAUUGAUUAAUUAACUCAAUGAAAAUGGCAGUAACUAGAAUAUGAAUGUUAAUUUUGCUAUUUCAACAUAAUUAAUUGACUAAAAAUUUGUACUAAUUACGGAAGUUUAUUUGUUUUUCCUAAUUGCGAAAUUAAUGAAAAACUAACCACUUAAUUCUUUUAAUUACACAUUUUCUUCUCCCUUAAUUGUAACUUAUAUCUCAUUUAAACCCAUUAAACCCCUUUAAUUACUCCCCAAACAUUCAACUUAACCAUCAAUAUAUUCUGCAAUCUUUUUCCACAAAUUCAAAACAUGGGAGAAGGUAAUCAUAAUGAUAUGUAUUUAUUUUUUUCUGAUUAUGAUUUGAACAAAGCAAACAUAGUUUUAUGUCAUUUAUUCCAAGGCCACCAAUUAAAAAUGUCUAGAUUUGCAACAUAAAGGUUAUGAAGAAGGACAUCAAUACUCAAAAUGAGAACAAUAUUUGGCUUUAUUUUAUUUUUAUUGUUGUUGUUUAUUUUGAUCAUAAAUAUGUAAAUGAUAUUUCUUUUUGUCAAAAUAUUACUAUCUUACAAAGUUAUUUAUUUUUGAAGGUUGUUUCUUCUUCUACAUCAUGUUUGUUCACUUCAUGGGGCUCCUACAAAGAGGAACAUGCAAUUCUUAAACAAAAUAGGAUCUACCUAGAGAUAAAAAUUUGAUAUUUGUUUGUAAGUUUCUUGCUUAAUUUUAUUUUGAUACAUUGUCUUAUUAAAAUUUAUACAAGUAAAAUUUUAAUAGUUCUUUGUUAUAUAUCCACCAAAAAUAAAAUACUUGACUUGCUAAUUUUACAAACUCCUAUUUGAAUAUAAUUUUCGUAAUAUAUCCAUUUAAUUUUUGAAAGACAAGACUGAAAUUAGAUGAAAAGGAUAAAUAAAAUUAUCUUAUUAAUGUAAAAAUAAGAAGCAGUUAACCUUAUAAUAUAUAUAUAUAUAUACACACACUCAUUGAAUAGUAUAUACAUUUAAUUUUAGUUUUACAUUUUUAUUCCUAUGUACUCAUUGAAUUAUUUUUAAUUAUCUAAAAUUUUAAUAAGUUCCACCUAUAUAAUAUAUAAUGAGAGAUAUACUAUGAAAGUUCUUAUAUAAAUGAUGGUACUUAUAAACAAAGAUAUAUAUGUUUUAAAUAACCCAGAUGUAUCUAUUGGUGUGUGAAAUAAUACUAAAACAUGUUGUUAUAGUAAUUUUCUUUCAUAUAAAAAAGAGUGGCAUUUUCUAAAUUCAUUAUUAAAUUAAGAUAUAACUUAUAAUACACAAGGAAAUAGAUAGAAGUGAAAUCACUAUAUAUUAAAAACAAGUGUAUAUUUUGAUUUAUUGCUUAAUAUUACAUUUUUUUAUAUUUUGUAUCAAUCUAAAAAUUACAAGUAGAAUAAUUGAUAUAACAGUGUUAUGAUCGGAAUCUAUAGAAAAAAAUGUAAAGUUAUUUUUUGAAAUUACAAAAAUUAAAGCAACAUAUUGGCUUUUUUUUUCAUCUUAUCUUAUUUAUUUUUUGUUAAAAUUUGAAAUUUAAAAUACUUUAGUGAUAUAUUUUUUGACCAAGAACUACAAUUAUUUUUUUGUUUUCUUUGGUCUCUAUUUUUUCUUCAUUUGUGUGCUAUCUGAAAAAUACUUCAAAAAAUCAUUUAUUUUCUUUAAAUGUGCAAUGUUAAGCUAAAAAGUCAUGUUUUACAUUUUCUUAAUGUAAAUAAUUAAUGGUUUUUAUUUUCACUACUCUUCAUAAAUUUUUUAAUUAUUAUUAUUAUAUAUAAUUGCAAAAAUAGUUAAUAGUCAUAUUAAUGAUAUUAUUUGAUAAUUUAUAUUAGUCUUUAUUAGUAGAGACAUUGUAAGACUAUUGAAAUGAGCACAUUAGCAUUUUAAGUUAUCAUGUUUUCGAUGCUAAUUAUAUUGAUGCUUUUGUUUGACUUGAAGAACAAGAUGAAUGCUAUUGAAUGGUUCAAAGUAGUAACUUAUGAAUUUGUUGGACAUAAUUAGUUUUUUAUCUUUAAACUACAUAUUGUCGCGCCCUGUUUUUUCGCAAAAACGGACUUUCGACCUAACAACUCUUUUGGGCUUUUGAAAAUUGAAGAGUCGCCGCCUAACGAAUUAAGGUGCGUUAGGGAACCUAUCUAACCUAACUAAAUCUAACUAAGGUCAACGAACCAGAGAUCGGGUAAGGGUUUAAAUUACCUCGAGGGGAAGGUGUUAGGCAUCCCUCGAGGUCUACAAGUGUGGGUCCCGACCGUAUCUCAUGCAAUUUAUGUGGGGGUUACAAGUAACAAUUAUGAUCACUUCAUUAUUUAGGUUAUUUAACUUAAACAUGCUGACUAAGUGAUAAAUGACAUUUAACAAUUAAGGUUACUUCAGUUAUUCAUUAUUUAAUUAAUUAAGCAUGCAAAACUAGGUGAUAUAAUAAACAUUUAAACAAUUAAUAAAGAGAGGAGCGAGGAGACAGAAAUUGCACAACUAAAUAGACGAAUCAAAUUUUAUUUUUAUUAAACUACCCCAAGCAAUUAUAAUUAAAAAACAAAUACAGGGACAAAAGGAAAGGGAGAUUCGAAAAGACUUUACGGAUCAGUGAUCGGCUUCUGUAUAGGGACAGACAAAACAAAUAUUUGUCAUUCACGGCUCGAGGUUCAUGCAAAACUAGGUGAUAUAAUAAACAUUUAAACAAUUAAUAAAGAGAGGAGCGAGGAGACAGAAAUUGCACAACUAAAUAGACAAAUCAAAUUUUAUUUUUAUUAAACUACCCCAAUCAAUUAUAAUUAAAAAACAAAUAAAGGGACAAAAGGAAAAGGAGACUCGGAAGGACUUUACGGAUCAGCGAUCGGCUUCUGCAUAGAGACAGACAAAACAAAUGUUUGCCAUUCACGGCUCGAGGCAAUGUCAUCAUCUCUGUAGAGCCUAAACUACACAUACCCCAGCACCGCAUGAUUUUCGUCUCUAAAAGGUGCCUAACGUCCCCACUUAAGGUCCAAGAGGCAUUGAACUACUAUUAGAAUGAAUUUAGACUAAAAAUAAAAUAUAUGCUUUUAAUAGGCCCACCUAGACAUCAAAUCAAACAAAUAGGACGUUCAUUUAGCAUGUAAAUUUUUCAGUUGGCCUCUAAGUUUUAUUAAACACAUGCUGACAAACACAAAUAAUUGUGAAAAAGGUCGCAUGCAAAGUGUGUGCAUACGAACAAGUUAACACGUAUUAAAAUACCAAUUAAAGAGGGAAGAAAAUUAUGCCAUGAUGCGGAUGUUAUCAAUUUGAUUUUUUUAAAAAUAUAGCAGAAAAUUUAUUACAGAAGCAAAUUUUAGUUUAUUAACAGAUUUUCAAAGGGGCAGAGGUAUUAUAAAAGAUUAGUUAAUUAAUUAUAGUAACAUACUAGAUUAUAUUGAUUAACAUACUAGAAAAGGACAAUAAUUUAUUUUAUUUUUAAGAAAAGCAAAACAGUUUAUUAUAAUGCAGAAAAAUUAAUUAUUAUGAGCAGAUUUAAUCGGGGCAGCAAUUAUUUAAAGCAGAUACAGAAAAUUAUUAAUUUUUUCAUCUUUUAGGUAAGAUGUCAUGAAACAACGGCAGAAAAAUGCAUAAAAGUAACUCAGUUAUUUAACAUGCCAACGAUUAAUUGAUUUAUUUUAAGUGACCGAAAAC
rnacentral:lncRNA from 1 species